ensembl:snRNA U6 U6 spliceosomal RNA
GUGCUCGCUUCGGCAGCAUAUGUACUGAAAUUGGAACGAUACAGAGAAGAUUAGCAUGGCCCUUGCGCAAGAAUGACACGCAAAUUUGUAAAGCGUUCCAAUGAAUG